UUUAAUUAUUUAUACAAAAAAAUUAUGUUAAUUCAUCUAUAUUUAAGAUGCUUAAUUGUAUGUUUGGAAACAUAUAUUACAUUAGGUAAUUCUAUGAAUAGUUUCAUUUUAAAAACUUUAAUUAAAUAAAUAAAAAAUAAAAAACCAUCAACCAAUCAAAUUAUAACAAUUAAUUGGAGAGCUCUUCUACGAGCGACACGUCAGCAUAAAUCACUAAAGUGACUUCUCAAUUAAUAUAUAGAAGGAUUCAAAAUGUAAUGCUCGCAAUAAAUUAAAACGCAAAGAAUAUGGUGAUCUUAUGUUAAUUAUUAACUUUUAUCGUUUAUCUUUUUCCUUUUUUUUGUAGUUAAUUAUAUUUCUAAUUUUUAACCUUUUUUCAAAACGUGAAUAUGAAUUGGUAAGAUAUCAUUGGUUAAGUAAACUUUAGGGGUGAACCUAAGAAUUUCUCUUAUACAAAUCUGGCUCACAUAUGACAAUGACUAAGUCCAACUCUUACUCGUUUAUAAUACUCUUCCUCAUUUUUAUUCUCUUUUUGGCAAGGGAGAGUCUGCUGCAAUUUCUCUUUGUAAUAUUUAAAUUAACAAACAUUCUCAUUAUUACAAAAUAAAUUAAUACUUUUUGGAGAAUUUUCAUGUUUACCACUUUCUUAGCACCAUUAUUUAUGUUUACCGCCACUAAAGAGAUAUUUUCAAAAAUACAUUAUUCAUUAAGUGACAAAAAACUCUUAUACUCAUGUUCUCUCAA
rnacentral:lncRNA from 1 species